AAUAUAAUUAAAUUUUUUUGUAGUAGGCAGGAUUAGACAGACAGAUAAACAUUUAAUCACAUGACCGUGUAGCCCCUUCUCGGCCAUCUUGUGAUGCGCUCUCAGCUCCGUCGUUUGUGUGUCUUUGUGUUCAAGAAAGAAAUGCAGUGUUGUUGUUGUCACCUUGCAGGUCCCCAUGUGGCUUCUUUCUUAAACACACACCCAAUCCCUUUGUCAUCUGCUGCAGUGACAAGAUGACUCUGGGCAGCUGGCCUUGAACGGAGAGUUUUAAUUAAAAAGUCCCACCUGAUCCUGAAAAACAAAGAAAAAGAAAAGUUUCAAACGGUCCACAGAGCGGGACACUGGACAGGAGGGCGCCGCUCAGCAUUGUGGCUUCGUCUUUAUGUGUGGCAGAUGACGGGCUGGCAUUUGGGCCCUGUGAGGUGUUUGUUUGUCACGCCGCACACUCGGAUGUCCUUCUCUUCUUCUGCAGUCGUCUCCUCCUUCUUUUUCCGCCCUCGUCUGGUGCAGUUGGCCUUCUUCUCUCUGACGGUAACAGAGGCCGCCAUCACGGAGUACCAAAGGGCGCUGCUCUUCAAAACAUACUCAAUGAUCCAGGACUGGCGCAGCGGGCCAGGCCUACCAGGGAAUCUGAUCACAUUCAACAAGUGUUUGUUUUUGAAGUAUCGGUGCCCCUAGUCAGAUGGCACGAAUCAAUGGGGAUGAAACACUGCAAACUGGGCAAACAGGUCACUGCAAACUUGAACUUUGGUUUUAUUUGCCGCCUUCUGCAUGAGCGCAGCAAUCUGAGACGUGGAAAAUGAAGGCAUCUGAACACAAACACCCCCGCCUGGGAUCAAAGUGUGCUGGCGACAGUAUAAAGACACUGAAGGAGCUGAGCGCAUUCAAAGAAAAGGACAGAAAAUAAAAACGAAAAUGCUGAUCAUGAAGGAUCUGGCCAUAGAUGUCUUUAAAGGCGCGGUGGCCAUUGGAGUCCUGAAGAUGACUACGUCUGCUCUAUUUGGCACGGCUCUCAUGAUUACAAUGGGUACUUAUGGGGUCUUUCAAGUCACUCGGUAUCUGAUGAACAAACAGAAAAAGCAAUGAAGACGACGCACUUCAGCUUCCUUAAAGAUGCCAAGGAGCCACUCAAGGCUGGCAGGCCGGUGACUUCAUCAAACCUUGUGAUGUCACUUAAACGGCAGAAUUAAAAUCAGAUG